rnacentral:rRNA from 1 species
AACGUAGGACGCAAGCGUUAUCCGGAGUUACUGGGCGUAAAGCGCGAGCAGGCGGCUCGACAAGUUCGCUGUGAAAGCUCCCGGCUCAACCGGGCGAGGCCAGUGGAAACUAUCGAGCUGGAGGGCAGUAGAGGCAGGCGGAAUUCCGGGUGGAGUGGUGAAAUGCGUAGAGAUCCGGAGGAACACCAGAGGCGAAGGCGGCCUGCUGGGCUGCACCUGACGCUGAGCCGCGAAAGCCAGGGGAGCGAACGGA